rnacentral:lncRNA from 1 species
CCACUGCACCCAGCCUCUAUUUCAUUCUUUAUCCAAGGUUCACUUGACUCUCCCAAUUUUCUUGGAGUUAUCACUUCAAAAUCCCAAGUAAGCUAUAUGAGCCUUCUAGAUCAUGUCCCAGAAAAAGAAAGGUGCUGCUUAGGAAUUGUCGGAUUUGAGCUGGGGUGAAGCUAAGAGCUCAGAACAGGGGGACCCCCUGCACUAGAGAUUUCACAGCUUCAUGAAGGCCACCAUCUUGGGAGUUGGGAGAUUCUUCUGGCAUUUGAACUAAAUUCCUUCUACAAUAAUAAUAAUUGUCUUCUGUUUUAUCUUGAGAUCAAUGGAAGCAGAGAGGAAUAGCUGCUGUCAAUUACGCUAUACCUGUACAAGACAAAUUUCUCACCCAACCUCCUUGCCCUUGGCUGAAUCAUCCAAUCCUGAACUUCCAUGGAGAAGAGAGAAGUCCAUGGACAGGGAUUUUCCUCAUCAGCUGCUCCUGACCACAGUAUUGGGGUUUGAGUGCUCAAGGUGCCCCUAAGGAACCAUCCCAAGGGUAUUUUCCCUAGAGGUCUCUUAAGAGUUGGGUGAAAUUUAAGAAGAGCAAGCUGCCUUCCAUCUGCUAUCCCCGGGGUCAUGUGCCCCCAGAUGGUGCAGGAUGAGUGGGGGCAAAGGGCAAGGGGGAAGUAUGUCAACUGGAACAUCACAGAAGUCUAAAUAAGGACUGUUCUGUUUGCCAUCCAUCUCUUAAUUUUUUGAUCUCACUAAAGGAAUACAACCCUAUAAUAAACACUCCAGCCUUACAUAAAUAAGCACCAGCUUGCAACUGCCUCUGUAGCCAGCUCACUGGAUUCCUGAGAUUAAGAACACAGGUAUACCUCUUAGAAGGUGUCACAGCUAGGAACUAUAAAAGUCAUCCACAAUGAAAGUGAUGAGACACUUGGGUGGGUAGCCAAAUGGUGUUGGGGUGGGGUCGGAAAUGGGGUAAAUGCUACAGAAACAGCUUCCCUGGGGAUAAGAAAGCCUAGGAGAAAUGCUGGUGUCUGAACAGUCCAGAUGUAGGAACAGUUGAAACAAUCUUAUUUGGGCUUGAGCAGCCAAAAGACUCUGGAAAUCCAGGUCUGAGCCUCUGGAGCUUUCUUUUCAGCUGCCCCAGCUGCACAUUCCUGAAAAGCCAGCACUUGCACGAGGCAUCUCCCAACUCAGACAUGAGUCACGCCAGCUUAUUUUAAGUCCUGACCUCUUCCCGGGAAGGGACUCUGACAUGGAAAGCCACGUGCUGUGAAGCAACCAUGGACCCCGGCCAAGGGAAACAGAGGCCCCCAACAGCUUCCUGACAGUGUCCUUCCCAGAAGCCCAGUGUGAGCAAGGGCCAGGAGCAGCUGUGGGCACUCAUGCCCCCUCCCUUGCCAGGGCGGAACAGUGGGCCGCACCACACCAGCAGCUCUUGUACCCACCGUGAUGCUGCUGACGGCUGGGGCAGGGGGUGCCAGGCAGUGAGGGAAGCCCUGUGUGCUCCUCUUUCCAGGACUCUGGCCUUGGUUUUCCAGUCCACACCAGAUUGUCCUGAAAGGCUACUGCAGUCCUUUGGGGAUAAAUGGACAGAGGGAGUAUGAAGCCCAUGCUCUCUCAGCCAAAUGUAUUUAAGCCUUUUAAUAAUUCAUAUCCCCAUUUCCAUACACAGCCCCACUUAAAGAGGGAUCCCAGGGAAACCUAAAAGCUUUUCUGAUUGCACCAGCUCAUCCAGCAUCUUCAUAAAAGGUUCUCAACUGGCCUCUCAGAAUCGACGGCAGCAAUGCUUAUGAAGAAAACUAAUAGUUCCAGCUGGUAGUCAUUGAAAAGUCACUUAAUAUUUCUCAGUGCAAGGAGCUCAACUUAAUGGGACACAAUGUUUUUUCCCUAAGCAGUUGGGAAAAAAAAACCUUGACAUCAUAUUAAUAAUGUCAAGUUUUAUUGGCUCUCUUAUUUGACAUGAUAUUAAACUUUUCAGGCUCUAUCUCGACUGAGGUACAAGGUUGUUAAAAUGUGGACAGAUUGGAGCGCUACAAAAAUGUGGCAUGGAAGAAAUGCCUGUCC